rnacentral:rRNA from 1 species
AGCAGCCGCGGUAAUUCCAGCUCCAAUAGCGUAUAUUAAAGUUGUUGCAGUUAAAAAGCUCGUAGUUGAAUUUCGGGAUCAAUUAAUUGGUCGUGCCUCUGGUACGUACUGAUUUUAUUGGUUUCUCCCUUCUGACGAACCAUGAUGUCAUUAAUUUGGUGUCGUGGAGGAUCAGGACUGUUACUUUGAAAAAAUUAGAGUGUUUAAAGCAAGCUAACGCUUGAAUACAUUAGCAUGGAAUAAUGAAAUAGGACGUUUGAUCCUAUUUUGUUGGUUUCUAGGAUCGACGUAAUGAUUAAUAGGGAUAGUUGGGGGCAUUAGUAUUCAAUUGUCAGAGGUGAAAUUCUUGGAUUUAUUGAAGACUAACUACUGCGAAAGCAUUUGCCAAGGAUGUUUUCAUUAAUCAAGAACGAAAGUUAGGGGAUCGAAGACGAUCAGAUACCGUCGUAGUCUUAACCAUAAACUAUGCCGACUAGGGAUCGGAUGAUGUUAAUUUUUAAUGACUCAUUCGGCGCCUUAC